rnacentral:tRNA from 1 species
GCAUUCUUGGUGGAAUCGGUAGACACGGGAGACUUAAAAUCUCCUUCUUUAGGGAGUAUCAGUUCAAAUCUGAUAGAGUGCA